AAAAGAAGUAACAUCCAAUUUAUUUCAUAAUUUAUUUCCAUCCACCUAUCAGAUGGCAUCCAAUAUAAACUACUUAUUUCAUUGUUGCUACCUUUUUUGACAAGCCACAAGUGCCACAAUAAUUUAUAAAAUUAUUUACAUUCAUUGUUCAUGUAGUUGUUUGAUAUAAAAGUGGAUUUUCUUUUUAGUUAUGAAGCAUUAAUUUUAUUCUAUUAUCAAUAAUUACGCUUAUAUCUAUAGUUGAAGAUGAAAGUACAAGGUAAGUCUUUUUAUUAUUUUCAAAUCCAUUGUGAUGAGUCGAUUUUAAGUUGUAGAAUUGGUUUAGUCAUAGCUAAUUAGAAUAUAUUAAAGAAGAGGGAUUUUUUUCUAGAAUGGAAUUCUAUGAAGUCCUUGU
rnacentral:lncRNA from 1 species